GAUGAACGCUGGCGGCGUGCCUAAUACAUGCAAGUCGAGCGAACGGACGAGAAGCUUGCUUUUCUGAUGUUAGCGGCGGACGGGUGAGUAACACGUGGAUAACCUACCUAUAAGACUGGGAUAACUUCGGGAAACCGGAGCUAAUACCGGAUAAUAUUUUGAGCCGCAUGGUUCAAAAGUGAAAGACGGUCCUGCUGUCACUUAUAGAUGGAUCCGCGCUGCAUUAGCUAGUUGGUAAGGUAACGGCUUACCAGGGCAACGAUGCAUAGCCGACCUGAGAGGGUGAUCGGCCACACUGGAACUGAGACACGGUCCAGACUCCUACGGGAGGCAGCAGUAGGGAAUCUUCCGCAAUGGGCGAAAGCCUGACGGAGCAACGCCGCGUGAGUGAUGAAGGUCUUCGGAUCGUAAAACUCUGUUAUUAGGGAAGAACAUAUGUGUAAGUAACUGUGCACAUCUUGACGGUACCUAAUCAGAAAGCCACGGCUAACUACGUG
rnacentral:rRNA from 1 species